rnacentral:rRNA from 1 species
UACGUAGGGUGCGAGCGUUGUUCGGAUUCACUGGGCGUAAAGGGUGCGUAGGUGGUGAGGUAAGUCGGAUGUGAAAGCUCCGAGCUCAACUCGGAAAUGGCAUUGGAAACUACCUUGCUCGAGGGUUUGAGGGGGGACUGGAAUACUUGGUGUAGCAGUGAAAUGCGUAGAUAUCAAGUAGAACACCAGUGGCGAAGGCGAGUCCCUGGAAAACUCCUGACACUGAGGCACGAAAGCUAGGGGAGCAAACAGG